CCGCCCCCAAUUAUUCCCACCUCUCUCUCCCCCUCUCUCCCUCUCUCUCGCCAAAAUGCCAGAGUUAUUCCCCUUUCUCUUUGACGGGUAGAUCAAGGUGCACCACGAGCUGGUGAAGCUGCCAGCAUGAUCUGAUGACCUAACUCAUGGAUCAGAGUCCAUGUCAAUCAGGUCAUGCUGGAGUUUCAUCUGCUGGUCGGAGCACCACGAAAACCCUAGAAUCCCAUGAAAUCUAUCCGUGGGCCAUCUACCCUUCCUGCAGGUUGUCCUCAAGGUGAGAUCCAUCCAAUUCGCUUCACUGCCUCGUGACCGACCGAUCGAUGCCUGGCUAGUCAUUAAUUCCUGUGUAGGUUGAUUCUGUCUUGGUUCUUUGUGUCUAUUUUCUUUCGAUCUUCCAUAGCAGAACGGAUCUGGGUUUCUUGGGUGUUACUAGUGUAGUUUUCUUCAGAUCCUGCCUUUUUUUCUUUCCUCUCCAAGAUUUACAGGCCAACAAUGAAAGUUUUCUUUCAUGAGGUGACGUUUAAAUUGACCUGUCCCGGUAGUAAUAUCUGAAUCGAUCUUGUGGCUUGUGAUUUAGUUAUUUUAUUUAGAUCAGAAUUUAGGUAUUUAUGUAACUUUUUUUUUGCGAUGUUAAAGACUGCUUAGGCAGCCUUUGGCAUUAGUUAUCUUUGACUGAUUAGAAUUUAGGUAUAGUACUGUUUAGGCUGCUUUGGAAGUACUCAGGUUAAUGUAUGUGCUUAUUUUUCAGACUUAGAUGUUAAUGUUCCAUCUGUAUUUUAGUAAUACUUAACUGCUGUAGGUAGCUAGGUCAAUUUGCAGGAAGUUGAAAAAAACUAACUGCCGCCAAGAUUAUAGCUUUCUUGAUCUUCUUAAUCAUAAAGAGGGUUUAGUUCCAUAUCUAUGGCAUGGCUAGCUUAAUCUUGUAUGUCUUGAAUGAUUGUUAGGGGCACAGAGUGAUAUUUUCCUCAGCAAUUGAAGAUUUGGAUGCAGAAGAAGCAGCAUAUAAAUUUCAUCUGGAAGGUGGAAAAAAGUUGUUGCGUGAUCUGUAUGACUGUAUCUGAGCAGCAUUAUUCUUCUUGAUCUCACGCAUUGAUUGAUCCUUGUUGCACCUCUAUUAUUUCCUUUAUGGAUUUGUCGUGGUAUUAUCCACUUGUAAAUGCGAUGUAUGGGCGUGUUAAUACCACUGUCUCUAACUUCUUGCAUAGUAGUAUCGGGAACAUGAUGCUGAAUUACAAAUUGUUUUCAUCAGCUGUGAUUAGGAUCGUUCAUUUUGGUCUUGUAAGUAAUGGCACUGAAUUAACAAAUACACCAAGUAGUGAUAAUUUAAACGAAAGGUGGAUAUGGGACAGAUCGAAAAGUGGGUGUGGAAAAGAAUUAUGAACUGAGUUGUCAUGUCCAUCAAGACAAUGGAUUAUCAAUUCUUGCUUGCAAGAUAUGUCUACAGAAGAGCUGGUAGCACAGCUUGAAUGAUUGGCCCUUGCUUGAAGAAUGAAACUGCCGUCCAUCCAUCUUUUCAUGAUCCCCCUUUGCACGCAUGAUUGCCCACACUUUCCUCCUCUUUUGGGCCUGGUACUAUAUAUAAGAGACACGCCACAUCCAUAUCACACAUCACAAAAUAUAUUUUUCCCUUCCUGUUUUUCUUUGACAUAUGGAUGUUGUUAAUCUCACUCUUGCAGAAUGAAAAUACAGUGCAAACAUUUACUACCGAGUUAAAAGUUUGUAGAAAACAAAUGAACGUGCGAAUGUUUGAAUUCGUUUCGACCUAAUUUUUCAAAGGGAAAAUGGUGGCAAGGGUCUUUUUUCACAACAAAACCAGUGAAAACAAAACAUGUAAAGCUGUAAAUAUGUAGCAUGAAAAUUGAGAGCAUAAAAAGAUAGUUGGGUGUGUUUUUUUAACAAAAUGAUUGCCACUCGUAAUUUAGUUUUAUUUUCAGCACAAGGGUGUGCAUGUGAGUGCAUCUCCGUCUAAUUAGUUGUAACUUUUUGUUGGCAUGUGUAACUACCACGCAUCUCUCUGAUGUCAUGGCGAUCCAAGUACAUUUGUCACCUAGCAUGCAUGCAUGGUCCUUUGGAAGAUUCAUGGGCCACACAUAUGUGCACAUAGCUCCAAGCCUUCCUUUAUGGCGAUUUGGUAGCUAUGGCCGGUUUGUUAGAAGAUGCCCACUGCUACAACCUAGCUUGUCCUCUGGACCCCUGUCCAGCUUUUAUAGAGGACUCAUGUAGAGUACUAGUAUAUGUCAGAAAAUAGUUUUGUACUCUCUCAUC
rnacentral:rRNA from 1 species